CUACAGCCCCAGCCAAUAUCUUAACUGAAACUCCAUGAGAAAUUGCAAGAUAAAAUUGCCCAGCAAGCAUGCUCUGGAAUUUCAGACCCACAGAAACUAACAUUUGCAUUAAGUCAAGCUGGAUGAGGAUGAUCCUGAGAUGGCCCCGGCCCUGUUCAUGUUACCUGUGUGUUGCUGAGUGGUCUUCUGUUGGGGUAUUAUGGGGCCAUGCAGGGCAGUAUGGAAAAGAACAACACAUGGUUAAGAACUCAGGCUCUGGAGUGAAGCACACUUGAAUGGCAGUCCGAACCUUGUCAACUACUUGACCUUGGAGGAGCCAGGGCUGCUUGGAGAAAUAACUGAUUUCAGCUCUAUGACAAGAAAUGUACAAAAUGUGCUGGCAACACUUUAUCAUACCAGGAAGUAAAGAAGCUCUCAGAAACUAUUGGGGCCAUGAAAGACUAAGAGGUCAAUGUAAAGUGAUUACCACUGGACCAAGAUGAAGCAAUUUGAGCAUCUAUAGGAAUAAUACAUGUAAAAAUAGAAAUACAUCAAAAGUGAAAAAUCAGUGACACUACAAUGAUGUUUAAAGAGAAAAAAAGUCAUUGGUAACUUUUGGAGUAUGCUAAAAAACAACUUUUCAUUUUUCUGAAAACAGGUUGAUAUGGUUUUGCUGUGUCCCCACCCAAAUCUCAUCUUGAAUUCCCACAUUUUGUGGGAGGGACCGGUCAUAGGUGAUUGAAUUAUGGGGAAAGGUCUUUCUUGCCCUGUUCCCGUGAUAGUGAAUAAGUCUUAUGAGAUCUGAUGGCUGUAUAAGGUGGAGUUUCCUUGCACAAGCUUUUUUUCACCUGCUGCCAUCCACGUAAGAUCGUAAGAUGUGACUUGCUCCUCUUUGCCUUCUGCCAUAAUUAUGAGGCCUCCCCAGCCAUGUGGAACUGUAAGUCCAAUUAAAUCUCUUUCUUUUGUAAAUGGCCUAGUCUUGGGUAUGUCUUUGUCAGUUGCAUGAAAAUAAACUAAUACACUGGUAAA
rnacentral:lncRNA from 10 species